UAGGGAAUCUUCCACAAUGGACGAAAGUCUGAUGGAGCAACGCCGCGUGAGUGAAGAAGGGUUUCGGCUCGUAAAGCUCUGUUGGUAGUGAAGAAAGAUAGAGGUAGUAACUGGCCUUUAUUUGACGGUAAUUACUUAGAAAGUCACGGCUAACUACGUGCCAGCAGCCGCGGUAAUACGUAGGUGGCAAGCGUUGUCCGGAUUUAUUGGGCGUAAAGCGAGUGCAGGCGGUUCAAUAAGUCUGAUGUGAAAGCCUUCGGCUCAACCGGAGAAUUGCAUCAGAAACUGUUGAACUUGAGUGCAGAAGAGGAGAGUGGAACUCCAUGUGUAGCGGUGAAAUGCGUAGAUAUUAGGAGGAACACCAGUGGCGAAGGCGGCUUACUGGACGGUAACUGACGUUGAGGCUCGAAAGCGUGGGGGAGCAAACAGGAUUAGAUACCC
rnacentral:rRNA from 1 species